ACUUGGAGGAGUACUUCCCAGCAUUGGGUAGGGUAGGAGUGCUUAAGAGGGCGGUAUGUGCCAAGGCCGAAAGAGUGAGGAACAGAUGGGCUGAUCUGCUGGACAAGGUGAUCGACGAUCGUGUGAGCAAGCGUAAAUCAGCGUCUGAUCACAAGGAUGGCGACUUCGUAGAUAUUCUGUUGUCUGUUCAGCAAGAGUAUGAUCUCACAAGAGAGCACAUGAAAGCUCUCCUCACGGUAAGUACAGAUAAUACCUUUCAAGUUAUAUACCUUGAUUUCUGUAUGUCUCUCGGUAUAACCUAACUAAUUGUUAUCCACAGGAUGUAUUUUUCGGUGCAACAGACACGUCAGCUAACGUCCUCGAAUUCACCUUGGCUGAGCUCAUGAGAAGGCCACACUUCAUGCGGAAGCUACAAGAUGAAGUAAGGAGUAUCAUACCCCGGGGACAAGAAAUUGUGAGCGAAGCUGAUAUGAACAACAUGGUGUACCUAAGAGCAGUAAUAAAAGAGUCUCUCAGGCUGUAUCCUGUUGCGCCUCUCCUUGCUCCGCACCUGGCCAUGGCUGACUGUACCAUCCAUGGAUACAUGGUUCCUGCUGGGACACGUGUCGUCGUCAAUGCAUGGGCCAUUGGGAGGGAUUCAAGCUCCUGGGAUGAUGCGGAAGAAUUCGUACCUGAAAGAUUUACAGAUGAAGGCAACGCUACGAAUGUUAACUUCAAAGGGAAUGAUUUCCAGUUCUUGCCGUUCGGGGCAGGACGAAGGAUAUGCCCUGGUAUAAACCUCGGAAUCGCAAAUGUUGAGCUUAUGUUAGCAAACCUCGUGAACCAUUUUGAUUGGGAACUUCCGGUUGGGGUUGAGAGAAAAGAUAUCGAUAUGACAGAGGUGUUCGGGCUAACCGUUCGUAGGAAGGAGAAACUAUUGUUGAUUCCAAAAUCACGCAUGUAAAAUAAAGCUAAGCUAAAUACUAUGUGUUAUCACUAUAACGGUUUUCUUGGGACGAAGGUGUUACCAGGUAUAAUGGCACCAAUAAAUAAUGGCCAAUACUUCCUUUUAUAGCAACAGUAUUGUUGUUUUGAAUGUUGACAAUCGUCAAGGCACAUACUAGGCUACUACUUUUAUCAUUAUAUACCUAUGAAAUAAAAGAGAAAAACCAUAAUGUCAGACUACUUUUAAAUUAAACUAGCAUGGUUGCAUGCGCAAAUGCAGGUGCAACAUGCUAGUUGUCUAUUACUUUUGUGAUUCGAAUUUCUUACUGUUAUCUUAUACUACAAUAUAACAUCCAUUGGGGAAAUAGGAAAUGAAAACUCACAUGCUUACCAUAAAAGUCAUAUGCGUAAGUUCGGCCACAAGAACUCUAAAUCCUACCAAUACCAAGAACAAUGAAUCCCUAAACUUGUAAACAGCUCUGGAAAAAACGUACACGCAUCUACCAUGACGCGUCUACCAUGACACAUAUUUUCAGAUUUAAAGUUGAUUCACAGGUCUGGAAACAAAGACUAAUUAUACAAUUAUACAAAUAAGUAGAACAUGCAUCUACGAUGACACAAAUUUCCAGAUCUAAAUUCAAUCCGCAGGACCCUAUGGAACAAGUUGAAAUCAAAAUUUCAUGGUCCUUGUCCUCAACUUCGACUACGUCCUCUACUUCCUCAAUAUCACCAUGUCUGGAGACUCCGAAACCUAGAAGAAGGUUGCCGAGGAUGCGGUUACCGCCGUCGUGGCUUUGACUUGGCCGACUGGUGGGUAUAAUCGGUUAUAUGAAUUAAAACAGCCAGAGAAUUGCUAAUUUAUCCAACAACCACCACCGCCGCCUCUCUUAGUCUGCACGCAAGAUCUUGGACACUGUUGACAGUAGGUGAGGGCAUCCUCAGGCUAAGAUAUAGUGGACGGGUGGGCAAGAAGGAAGGCUGCAAUGAGCCCCGGCGGCCGUACGAGCAGAAGGAGGUACGCUUGUCAUGAUCGUCAUCAAGUCGCCUCUCUAGAUUCAUGUUUAUUCUCUCUAUCUGUCCCAUUAUCAUUAUGCAAUAGCUGAAAAACAAGAUCCUUAACAAAAAAGUAGAAACAUGACACAAAUCUUAGAGCAACAACCGACGAUGUAUAUAUGGGUGGAUGGUGUAUCCCUGUUAUCCAUGUACGGUAGAAAAAUCACUGUCAUAGGAAAUGUAGCGGAUGAGUUAGCUAUCUUGGAUAGGAUAUCUCCACCUAAUACUUGGCUAGAUUCGGCCCGUUGGCUGCAAUUCCUAUGCUUGUAAAGGGUGUAACUAUUCUGAUAAAUGAAUAAAAAAGGUUUGCAGUGCAAAAAAAAAAAGAACCAACGAUGAAUAUGUGUGUGGAAAUGUGGACGGUGUAUCUCUGUCAAAAAUGCUACAUCUACGAGGCUUUACAGGUUGUUACGAACUCCUCCCAAAUUUCAUAAACAUUGCCCCCCCCUGAUUUUCAUGGGGGUGGCCCCCUCCCCAAUUAACACCCAAUCAAAAACUGCCACAUAAAAUCAAUCCUGUAAACUCCUGUAAAAACCCAUAUGUGUAGCAUUCUUGGUAUCUCUGUGCAUCCAUGUGCGGUAGAAAAAUCACUCUUGGACAAAAAUCGAGCCUAUCAAAACACACCGUGUUCCACUUGUCUUCCUCACAUGCACGCACGGUCCUUCUACGGUGGGUAAAUUUCCCGUGCCGUGGAUGGUCAAAAAACGAAAAUCCUAAAUCUACGUAGGGCCUAUAAACACUAACGUAACUUUCCUAACUAAUUAACUUCACCCCCUGAUUUUUGCAAGGGUGGGCUGCUUCAUCCUCCUUCCUCUAAUCUGAUUGGUCCACCUUGCAUAUUACGUAAAACACAUACGUAGCCUUAUGUGGGUGUAGCAUUACCGGUCAGAAAACUUGGAGUGCCGUGGUGCGCUUGGCCUCCUACUUCAACCGCAUGAUUGAUUGAAUUCCACGACGGGCGGGCCAGUAAAUCCCUACGGAUGAGGCGCUGGCUGGGCGAGCGACUGAUUGAGAACGAUUGUACGACGUGUUAAUCCAUCGGGAAGACAAAACGUGGACACUACUACAUCACGCGCCAGCGCCAAUAUUGCUCCAUGUUCAGUGCACCACAGAUAUGCUUUUCCCGCGUGACUGAAUUCCACGACCGGAGGUCCUGAUGAUGGCUAAACGAGUGGCAGACGUAUACUGAUUGAGUACGAAGCUAGAGCCCAUCCAUCUGGAACACUAGAUUUCGCGUGCAGACGUAUACGUUAACAGACACAGUUAGAUCACCAUCACCAAUAUAUCGCUGCAAGUUCAUUGUCCUUUUUUACUUUGCCCGGCUGCUUAUAAGCAACUGAGCUCGCCAUUUCUCCGGGAGAGCUCCGGUCCAGAGUGGGCUCCUAAACGGGCUAAAUCCUGCUUGGCUCCCUGCAGGUCGAGUCUGUGCAUCAAAAACCUUUCUUACAAAUGAAAGCCCUCUUCUGGAACGUCAGAGGUUUCGGCGCUCGGGGACGCCGAGACCAAAUCAAAGAUAUGAUCAGUGUCACAGCCCUAGCUUAGUAUUGCCUAUCCUUGCAUAACCUCCAUGCAUCAUGUUUACUUUUUCUCAGAAACCUGAAAUGGGGAUAUUCAAACCCUAGCACCACAUGGAUUUCAAAUAGGCUGAACUAAAGUCAUUUUCAAUGAACCCAAAAAUGCCCUUUGAAAAUGUUCACGAUUUCUGAUAAGGGUGAAAACCUCUGCCAAAAAUGAUGAACAUAUCUCUAGGUCAUUCAUGGAUUUUUGAAUUAAUUCAUAUUGUAUUUGACUUUGGGCAUUUAAAUACUAUAAAUAAAUUAAAUGCUCAGAUAAUGCUGAAAUUAAAUGUGGGCCACUAGAAUAAUCUAGAGAGUGUCCACAAAUUAUUCCAGCAUUUUUCAAAAUGCGUUAGUAUUUUUACUAAAGCCAAAACAGUAGCAGAAAAAUAGAAAAUGGAAGAAAAAUAAAGAGAGAGAGAGAGACAAGCCCACCUGGACCUUACCUGGCGGCCCAAGUGGCCGACCCGGCCCACCUGGCCCCCUCCCCUGUCGUCUUCCUCCUUUGCCAGGAGGAUGAGCGCGUGGCCGCGGCGCGCUGGCACGCGCCUCGCCAGCUCCUGCUCGUCGUCGAGGGCCUGGACGCCCCCACGAGUGCCACGCCACCUCCCCGACCCCCUCUCACUUAUCCCUCGCUCUCUGGACCUNNNNNNNNNNNNNNNNNNNNNNNNNNNNNNNNNNNNNNNNNNNNNNNNNNNNNNNNNNNNNNNNNNNNNNNNNNNNNNNNNNNNNNNNNNNNNNNNNNNNNNNNNNNNNNNNNNNNNNNNNNNNNNNNNNNNNNNNNNNNNNNNNNNNNNNNNNNNNNNNNNNNNNNNNNNNNNNNNNNNNNNNNNNNNNNNNNNNNNNNNNNNNNNNNNNNNNNNNNNNNNNNNNNNNNNNNNNNNNNNNNNNNNNNNNNNNCACUGGCCCUCCCUCGCCCAUCCAACGUGCUCGGGAGCUCCACCACGCCGUCCCUGUAUACCCCACCGAGUCACGUGAGCUGGGAAGCACCGCAACGCCCUCGACAUCGUCGUCUUCUACCUCGGGCCACCGAGAUCGCCGUCAAUGCCACGACGCCGUCUGUGCUUCCCCGAGCCCACUUCGGCGCCCCCUACAACCGCUGUGAGCUACCGCUUUGAACCCCUCUCUUCCCCGCCUCAAUUGCACCUUGUACCCCUCGUUCUCACCGGAGCCGAAGCUCGCCGCCGCCGCGCCAUGUGGCCGUCGUGGCUAUAGCCACUGGAGCUUCCACCUGAGUACACUACCGUUCUCAGAAUGACCCCACGAGACCGUGGCCACCAACAUCUCCCCCUCUCGUGCACCGCAAACCCAAACCCGCAACCCACCGUGCUCCGGCCGCCGCCGUUUUGGUCGUCGUCGUUGACUCCGUCCAUCCCCGCUCAAACCACGGCCACCCACGGAUGCGUCUCUCUCCCCUCUUUCAAACGUGCCCUUCCGCGCGUCGAACGGUGGCCCGUAGAGCAAACCCGAAGCGGGCACCGCCGCGGCCUGUCGUCGCCGGCGGUUAAACGCUGAUGGCUGACGUGGAACCAUCAUUAGGGCCUAAGCACCCUACUGAUUACCCCCUGGAGUCAUUGACAACAAGGCCCCACGUGCUAAUUAACCCCGAAUUUUAUUCCCUGUUUAACUUAGACUAACCCACAAGCCCACAUGUCAGGUUGACUUUGCUGACGUGGCCUUUGACCGGUCCCACGUGUCAUCCACCCAAACCAGCCUGAGACACUGACGUAUGGGUUCCACAGGUCAGGUUUGACCUGGCCGACCCAGUUGACCUGCUGACGUCACCCCUAUGUCAUGCUGACGUAGUAAAUGAUUUUCUGGAUUUUAAAUAAUUCACAAAAUUCCAGAAAAUAGCCAAAACUUUUAAAAUUCAUAGAAAAUUAUCUAUAACUCAGAAUGAAAUAAAUUAUAUAUGAAAAAUUAUCAAAAAAAUUCAAGGAAUCCAUCUGUACCAUUUUCAUGCAUGUUAGAACAACUUAAGGCAACUAUUUAGGACAAAUCAAAUGAAUGGUAUUUAAAUAACCACAUGUGGAGUUUGAAUUUGAACUUUGGGUUCAAACCAACUUCAUUUAAUUGUGUUGCUAGUUGCAUUAGCUCAAUCAACAACAUAUUGCCAUGUCGUUGUCAUGCAUCAUGUUGUGCAUUGCAUUGAUUGUGUUCCUUCUCUGUUGCCGGUGGUUGUCCCCUCUUGAUAGACGUUGUACCGACGCUGUGAUCGUUGACACUGACGAAGACCCAAUGAUAUCUUUAGAAGUGCCAGGCAAGCAAAACCCCCUUGUUCAUUCCGAUACAACCCCGCUCUCUCGCUCCUGCUCUCUUUUACUGCAUUAGGACAACAACGAUUCAUCUGUUACUUGUUGCGGUAGUUGAACCCCUUAUCCUCUGCAUGACCUGUCAUUGCCACAGUAAAUAGAUGAAACCCACUAGCAUGAGUAGGAGUUGUUUGAGCCCUGAUGUGCCUACUCAUUCAUGCUUGUUUAUCAUGCCUGCUAUUACAUAGAGUUGCGUCAGGUCUGAUUCAUCGGGAAUGAAUCGAAGGUGUGUGAUCAUGUCCUACCGUGUGUGAGCUAAGUGUGUGAAUACGUUUUUGGUAUAGGUAGCGGUGAGAGGCCAUGUAGGAGUACAUGGUGGGUUGUCUCAUUGCAGCCGUCCUCAGGAACUGAGUUCUGUGUCUGUGAUCCAUGAACAGCUACUACCACUCAUUGGGAUCCUUAAUUGACCCUCUCGGCUUGUUAAUCACCCUAGUACUCUGUCCAGGAGUUGCAAUUAGUUUCUGGUGUUUGUAGGUUAUGUGUUGCAGUCCGUGCGUAUCGCUGACCCUAGGGGUGGGCUAUGUUGCGGUAGAUACACUGUGGCACGGUGUACCGGGCGCCCGUUUGGUGUCUCGGGAACCCUGUUCACAUCGUUCGGGGCCGUAUGUGGAAACCUCGGCCGGACUCCCUGCGUAUGGAACCUGGAUAGGCGAUAAACCUGGACUAGAGACUUAAGUGUUUAGGUAGGCCGUGGCCGACACCCUCGCCAGGCUUCCGCUUGAAGGUUGCCGAGAUACAUGACGUGUAUAUGGUGGUAAGUGGUGGGAGCGUGUGUGAAGAAGUACACCCCUGCAGGGUUAUCAUUAUCUAUUUGAAUAGCCGGAUUCCUCGGAUAUGGAAACUUGGACCCCUUGCAUAGUUCGUAGACAAGUGAAAGUGGAUACUCUAAAACUCGCAAGAUAAGUGUGAGUGCUAUGGAUGGCCUUCUCGUAGGGAGACGGGAGCAGUUCCAUAGUGGUGUAUUGAAUGGUGAAUAUGUGGACUCGUGUGCGCUAACUCAAAAGAGUUGCUUGCAGUCGUAGUUCAGGUUAGCCACUAAGUCAAAGCUGUCUUGCUGCAGUUAAACUCCACCACCCCCCCUUGUUGAUACCGAUGCAUAUGUAACUAGUUCUGAUGUAAGUCUUGCUGAGUACCGUUGUACUCAAGUUUGCUUAAUUUAUGUUUUGCAGAGAGAGACUUCAGUCUCGCUAGUAGUUCCGCGUGGACUUCAAUGUUAGCUUGAUACCUCAGCUAUGAUCUUGUGCCCUCGGCAGGAUCUGGUAGAUAGUCAGGCUUCUUAGCCUUUUUCCAUUUGUAGAUGUCUGUACUCAGACAUGUUAAGCUUCUGCAUGUGCUUGAUUUGUAUGCUUUGAUUGUUGGGUCAUGAGACCCAUGUUUGUAAUAUCUCGCUCCUCGGAGCCUAAGGAAUAAAUACUUGAGUUGUAGAGUUAUGUUGUGAUGCCAUGUUGUAAUUACACAUAUCGAGCAUAUUGUGUGUAUGAUUGAAAUGCUUGGUAUGUGUGGGAUCUGACAACCUAGUUGUUAUCCUUGGCAACCUCUCUUAUGGGGAAAUGUAGUCUAGUGCUUCCAUGAGCCAUAGUAGUCCACUACAGCCCGGUUCACCGGAGUCCUGCUAGCCCAGCACUACUGCUCAGGCCACUCGAUUGGCCGACAUGUGUUUCACUUUGUUCUUGUGUCUGUCCCUUCGGGGAAAUGUCACGCGGUGACAUCCGGAGUCCUGCCUAGCCUGCUACAGCCCAGGUUCCCGGAGUCCUGUUGGCCCAGUGCUACAGCCCGGAUUCACACGCUGAUGACCGACAUGCUCGAUGUGAUUCAUGUAUGCCUGUCCCCAUAGGUUAGUGCCGCUUUGAGUUCACGACUAGCCAUGUCGGCCUGGGUUCUCUAUCAUAUGGAUGCUAGCGACACUAUCAUAUCGUGAGCCAAAAGGCACAAACAGUCCCAGGUCAUGGUAAACCGAUACCCGUGGGAAUACCGUGCUUGAGGCCGUAAAGUGAUAUGAGGUGUUACCGGCUAGAUCGAUGUGACUUGGAAUCGGGGUCCUGACUGCUUUGGUAUCAGAGCCUGACUGCCUGUAGGUUUACCAAGCCAAUUGGUCGAAGUCGAGUCUAGAAAUGCUUUAGUUAUAUAAGGGAAUUGAUUGUGGAAGGGAACAUAAGGCUCUUUUUACUCCUUAUAUCUUAUGCCCUUCUGAUCUGAGUCAUCCUCUUCUCUUCUACGGGGAUUAAGAACUAGGCCUUCUCAUCUAUCUAUCAGGAUGACGUGUUACUAAUCCGUAGAGUUAUAAGAUUUUUGGAUUCGAGUUUCAGUUCAGUUUCUACUACUUUUAGUAUGUUGUCAGUCAAAUCAGACCCUUGAUAUGAUGAUGUUAAGUGGUUACACCACUAUUUUGCAGGAUGUCUCAAAUCUUUUUGAGCAUUUACAACCGUUAUGCUGUCCGAGUCAUUCCAGGUUUCUAAAUAGUCUGAUGCAUUUGCAAAUGCCUUCCUCCUGUUCCUGAUGUCCAUUUGGGCCAGAUUAAUCACACUAACCGGUCAGUUGAGGUACUCUAUUGCCUCGACAUAUAUGUUGGAGCUAUUAUUAUGACCCUAGGUGUUUUAGGGAGUCACCUAGUAAUCUAGCCAUCUUUUGUGUUCCCGGUGUGAUGAUUCUGGCCACCAUUCUCGAAAGCAUCACGUGAUGCCAUGUAGUGGUAGGUAUUCUAUUCAUGGGUUCUUGAAUCCGAGAUUCAUCCUACUUACCUCAUGUUGAUAGUGUUGCUAGUUACUUUAGGAUAUUAGUAACCUUUGCGAUAGUCCUCGAGGUCCGAGGUAUUUCCUUCUUCCAAAUACUAUGAACCACUUAUGGCAGAAGUUUGUUGUAUCAAAAGAUCACAACCAGAGUGCUCUUAAUGAGUUAUCCAUUCUGCAUUGUGAAUCUGCCAGUCCUACCUUUCUGCAUGGAUUACAUGGAAGAAAAAUGUUGAACUUGUUUGACAUACCAAAUCUAUGCAUCCGCAACUCAUAAAACCAUAUGUUCCUUUGAGUUGUCUCUCUUAGUUGUAUUCUGACCUCUGUCCAUCAAUUGAUAGUCAGGACUAGUUGUGCAUUUGUGUUCAUCGAUGCCUACUAUUCUUUUGGUCCGUCAAGCCAUCCUAUUCAGAAUGACUAGGAGAAACAAACUCCAGCACCUUAUCCAUAUCUAGGAUUGGGUCAAAGAAGUUGUAAUCCACAAAUCAAAUGCCAAUCCAGUUUUUGAUUCUGUUCUACCUUGGAGUAUUACCAUCUUUAUAUCAAGAUUGUCAUGGAAAUUGCACACCAUCCUAUGAACUCUUGAUACAGUGAUACUUCUUGCCAUCAUUGUUCAUUCCCCGGUUCCCGUGUUUUUAUAACCGGAAUGCCAGCAAGUGAGCCAUGAUGUGUGAAACCAAUACUCCUAGCAACUCCAUUGCUUGGUAGUUAAUGGACAAUAUUCUCAUUCUUAGCAUGUUGGUUAUUAAAUCAUCAUCCUAAGAUUGAUUGUGCUACGUACUCCUUAUUUCUGGUGCACCCUUCGAUUAAUGAGUGAGGAUUACUCAAUCCCUUGCUUAUUUGAUCAUAUCAUCUUGCUCUGAAAAGCGAGAUUGUUCUCGAGCUUAGUAAAAUAUCGGUGGUUCGUGAUUUUCCGAAGAUCUUCUCAGAAGUAUUACCAGGUUGUCACCUGACAGCUAUGUUGAGUUCGUGAUCAAGUUGGUUUUCUUAUAAAUCACCCUUCACCAAGAAUCUGUGCUGGAUAUCCCUAAGCUAGUUGGUUGAGUCAAAUAACAACUUGGAGAGUUGGAAGAUAAAAUCUUAAUCCACUUAGUUCAUCACUAAGGGAUAUCCUUGUGUGUGUGCGUUGAAGAAAAAUGAUAUCUCCAUCGAUGGGUCCUCGUGAUCAGUUGUUGGAUCUAUUGCCUUGCCAAAACUUUGACUUGAGUAUGGGCUAUCGUCAAGUCAAAUCAGAACCAACGAUGUUCGUAAUGUUGUCUUACCCGUGGUUGAUCCCUCGAGAAUACACCAUUACAUCUUUUGGUCUUACCAAUGCUAUCACCGUGUUCACAUGAUGGUUGAAGUCCAGUGAUAUGGAAAUUCCGAUGAGUUGUUGUUGAGCCCAUCAACAACAUUUUGUCUCCCCCAUGAUUCAUGUUGAACAUCAACCUAGUGUUGGAAACUUUAUAAGCAAUGCCUUCGUGUUCUGUUCAUGAAGCUUAUGCCUGGAUGGAAGAAGUGACUUCCUCGAAUUCAUGUGCAUUUGGUGCAAGUUGCCGCCGUGAGUUCGAGAAAGAUUGUUUUUGUUUUCCCCUGGCACCGUCCCAAGUCAGUUAUGCAUGUGUGAAUGUAUUCUAUGGUUUGGUAGAUUAAUUACAUCCACUCCAUAUGUAUUCCCCAGCACACCAAGCCACUGAUUGACUUGUUCAAGGCAAAGAAGUCUAUGCUUGGGAUCUAAUCCAUGGACUUGCGUAAAGACUUUGAAAUCCUUGAUGAUGGUUCCCCACCUGAACUCGAUAGUGUUUUACUAUAAGACUACUACAUGGUCAUGCUCGUCUUGGAUAGCGUGUUCACAGGUUUGUAGCAGAACCAGCUCAUGUUUUGGAGCUUGCUAUCGCAGUUCAUUCCCCGAGAAUCUCGCAACGUCAUCUCGUCAAAUUGUGUUGCAAACUCUCAUUUUCUUUCUAGACUGGAUGGGUAUGGAAUAUCCUAACACCAACCAGAUCUGAAUCUCAGGCAGAUAUGAUGGUUGGAACAUACUCCGAGAACUAUAAUGUUGGUCUCUUUGUAACCAGUAACGUGGAUGUCGUGGCCAACACACCUAACCGGAAGGCCUAUUAUUGUAGUAUCUUGGUUGAAGAACUUGGUCACCUCCCCAUAUGGAUCUCGUAGGAUAUGCCUCUGUAGUUAUUCCUUAUGGAUUCUUGAGCUUCCGAAGUUCGAUCUUUUACAUGAUAUUCUAGAUAUCAAACCAUAUCUAUAAAUGGAUUACGCUAGCACAUCAAGGAGAACAUUAGAAGCGGAGUGCUAAAUGUCUCUCGGUCGAUCGUCCAGAUUCUGUUCCCUUAGCCUCGCUAAGGGAAGAUCUGAGAAGGUGUUAUCUCCUUUGUAUCCGCAUCAUCCACCACUAGUCAUCAUGGUAGUAUGUCGUGUUGCCAGGAUCCUUGCCACGGAUGUUGGUAGAACCUUGAUGAAUAUGGAAAUGCUCAAGUUCUUGAGAGCAUGCGCAAGCAAAUCAUCCCUUGCGUUGUCUUCAACAAGGUAGUCCACAUCAUCCUUUCUAGUCCAAGUAUAUCAUUUCUUUGAACUCUUUCAAAUGAUCGAUUGGGAUGCCUUAGGCUGGCAUAAAGAGUUUCAAUGAUCUCCGAAUCAAAAGUAAUUCUUUUUGCCACUUAAGGGAACAGUUCAACGAGUCACCUUCUCCAAGGUGCCCUGUUAUGGGUUCAUGACAAUUAUCUCCUCGCAACCUUGAAACCAUGCACCAUCCUACUUAAGCAUGGAAUUGUUGCCUACCAAAUUUGAAUCUUUAUCAUCCGCUUCUUUCCAUCACCCUGAUGUGAACUUUGUGUCUCAAUUGGAGAGAUGUUCCUAUGUCUCACUCCAUGAGUUGAUCCUGAGUUGCUCGAUCUUCGAGAAGAUCGAUCCUUCUAGAGUUUCUUUCCCUCUCGUUGUCAUGUCGGUAGGAAUUCCUGGAGCAAGACUUCGAGACAAUGAUGGUGAUCGAAUCAACAAUCUUAUGAAGUGCAACCUGGAUCGUGAAGAUUGUGUUGGUCGUGUGUCCCCUCUGUCUUCUUACCUCACGACCUGAAUCUCAGGACGAGAUUCUUGUUUAGUGGGGGAGAGCUGUCACAGCCCUAGCUUAGUCUUGCCUAUCCUUGCAUAACCUCCAUGCAUCAUGUUUACUUUUUCUCAGAAACCUGAAAUGGGGAUGUUCAAACCCUAGCACCACAUGGACAUAUUUCUUGGUCAUUCCUGGAUUUUUGAAUUAAUUCAUAUUGUAUUUGACUUUGGGCAUUUAAAUACUAUAAAUAAAUUAAAUGCUCAGAUAAUGCUGAAAUUAAAUGUGGGCCACUAGAAUAAUCUAGAGAGUGUCCACAAAUUAUUCCAGCAUUUUUCAAAAUGCUUUAGUAUUUUUACUAAAGCCAAAACAGUAGCAGAAAAAUAGAAAAUGGAAGAAAAAUAAAGAGAGAGAGAGAGAAGCCCACCUGGACCUUACCUGGCGGCCCAAGUGGCCGACCCGACCCACCUGGCCCCCUCCCCUGUCGUCUUCCUCCUUUGCCACGAGGAUGAACGCGUGGCCGCGGCGCGCUGGCACGCGCCUCGCCAGCUCCUUCUCGCCGUCGAGGGCCUGGACACCCCCACGAGUGCCACGCCACCUCCCCAACCCGCUCUCACUUAUCCCUCGUUCUCUGGACCUCCCUCCCCCUCGCUUCUCUGAUUCCCCCCCAUGGACGAGCAUGCCCGUUGCCGCCGCUCGCUGUUGCCACGGCCACUAGCCCUCCCUCGCCCAUCCAACGUGCUCGGGAGCUCCUCCACGCCGUCCCUGUAUACCCCACCGAGUCACGUGAGCUGGGAAGCACCGCAACGCCCUCGACAUCGUCGUCUUCUACCUCGGGCCACCGAGAUAGCCGGCAAUGCCACGACGCCGUCUGUGCUUCCCCGAGCCCACUUCGACGCCCCGUACAACCGCUGUGAGCUACCGCUUCGAACCCCUCUCUUCCCCGCCUCGAUUGCACCUUGUACCCCUCGUUCUCACCGGAGCCGAAGCUCGCCGCCGCCGCGCCAUGUGGCCGUCAUUGCUAUAGCCACUGGAGCUUCCACCUGAGUACACCACCGUUCUCAGAAUGACCCCACAAGACCGUAGCCACCAACAUCUCCCCCUCUCGUGCACCGCAACCCCAAACCCGCAACCCACCGUGCUCCGGUCGCUGCCGUUUUGGUCGCCGUCGUUGACUCCGUCCAUCCCCGCUUGAACCACGCCCACCCACGGAUGCGUCUCUCUCCCCUCUUUGAAACGCGCCCUUCUGCGCGUCGAACGGUGGCCCGUAGAGCAAACCCGAAGCGGGCACCGCCGCGGCCUGUCGUCGCCGGCGGUUAAACGCCGGUGGCUAACGUGGCACCAUCAUUAGGGCCUAAGCACCCUACUGAUUACCCCCUGGAGUCAUUGACAACUGGGCCCCACGUGCUAAUUAACCCCGGAUUUUAUUCCCUGUUUAACUUAGACUAACCCACCGGGCCCACAUGUCAGGUUGACUUUGCUAACGUGGCCUUUGACCGGCCCCACCUGUCAUCCACCCAAACAAGCCUGAGACACUGACGUAUGGGUCCCACAGGUCAAGUUUGACCUGGCCGACCCAGUUGACCUGCUGACGUCACCCCUAUGUCAUGCUGAUGCAGUAAAUGAUUUUCUGGAUUUUAAAUAAUUCAGAAAAUUCCAGAAAAUAGCCAAAAGUUUGAAAAUUCAUAGAAAAUUAUCUAUAACUCAGAAUGAAAUAAAUUAUAUAUGAAAAAUUAUCAGAAAAAUUCAAGGAAUCCAUCUGUACCAUUUUCAUGCAUGUUAGAACAACUUAAGGCCAUUGUUUAGGAUAAAUCAAAUGAAUGGUAUUUAAAUAACCACAUGUGGAGUUUGAAUUUGAACUUUGGGUUCAAACCAACUUCAUUUAAUUGUGUUGCUAGUUGCAUUAGCUCAAUCAACAACAUAUUGCCAUGUCGUUGUCAUGCAUCAUGUUGUGCAUUGCAUUGAUUGUGUUCCUUCUCUGUUGCCGGUGGUUGUCCCCUCUCGAUAGACGUUGUACCGACGCUGUGAUCGUUGACACUGAUGAAGACCCAAUGAUAUCUUCAGAAGUGCCAAGCAAGCAAAACCCCCUUGUUCAUUCUGAUACAACCCCACUCUCUCGCUCCUGCUCUCUUUUACUGCAUUAGGACAACAACGAUUCAUCUGUUACUUGUUGCGGUGGUUGAACCCCUUAUCCUCUGCAUGACCUGUCAUUGCCACAGUAAAUAGAUGAAACCCACUAGCAUGAGUAGGAGUUGUUUGAGCCCUGAUAUGCCUACUCAUUCAUGCUUGUUUGUCAUGCCUGCUAUUACAUAGAGUUGCGUCAGGUCUGAUUCAUCGGGAAUGAAUCGGAGGUGUGUGAUCAUGUCCUACCAUGUGUGAGCUAAGUGUGUGAAUACGUUUUUGGUAAAGGUAGCGGUGAGAGGCCAUGUAAGAGUACAUGGUGGGUUGUCUCAUUGCAGCCAUCCUCAGGAACUGAGUUCUGUGUCUGUGAUCCAUGAACAGCUACUACCACUCAUUGGGAUACUUAAUUGACCCUCUCGGCUUCUUAAUCACCCUAGUACUCCGUCCAGGAGUUGCAAUUAGUUUCUGGUGUUUGUAGGUUAUGUGUUGGCGGUCGUGCGUAGCGCUGACCCUAGGGGUGGGCUAUGUUGCGGUAGAUACACCGUGGCACGGUGUACCGGGCGCCCGUUUGGUGUCUCGGGAAGCCUGUUCACAUCGUUCGGGGACGUAUGUGGAAACCUCGGCCGGACUCCCUGCAGAUGGAACCUGGAUAGGCGAUAAACCUGGACUAGAGACUUAAGUGUUUAGGUAGGCCAUGGCCGACACCCUCACCAGGCUUCCGCUUGAAGGUUGCCGAGAUACAUGACGUGUAUAUGGUGGUAAGUGGUGGGAGCGUGUAUGAACAAGUACACCCCUACAGUGUUAUCAUUAUCUAUUCGAAUAGCGGGAUUCCUCGGAUAUGGAAACUUGGACCCCUUGCAUAGUUCAUAGACAAGUGAAAGUGGAUACUCUAAAACUCGCAAGAUAAGUGUGAGUGCUAUGGAUGGCCUUCUCGUAGGGAGACGGGAGCAGUUCCAUAGUGGUGUAUUGAAUGGUGAAUAUGUGGACUCGUUUGCGCCACCUCAAAAGAGUUGCUUGCAGUCGUAGUUCAGGUUAGCCACUGAGUCAAAGCUGGCUUGCUGCAGUUAAACUCCACCACCCCCCGUUGUUGAUACUGAUGCAUAUGUAGCUAGUUCUGAUGUAAGUCUUGCUGAGUACCUUUGUACUCACGUUUGCUUAAUUUAUGUUUUGCAGAGAGAGACUUCACUCGCUAGUAGUUCCGCGUGGACUUCAACGUUAGCUUGAUACCUUAGCUACUAUCUUGUGCCCUCGGCAGGAUCUGGUAGAUAGUCAGGCUUCUUAGCCUUUUCCAUUUGUAGAUGUCUGUACUCAGACAUGUUAAGCUUCCGCAUGUGCUUGAUUUGUAUGCUGUGAUUGUUGGGUCAUGAGACCCAUGUUUGUAAUAUCUCGCUCCUCGGAGCCUAAGGAAUAAAUACUUGAGUUGUAGAGUUAUGUUGUGAUGCCAUGUUGUAAUUACACAUAUCGAGCAUAUUGUGUGUAUGAUUGAAAUGCUUGGUAUGUGUGGGAUCCGACAACCUAGUUGUUAUCCUUGGCAACCUCUCUUAUGGGGAAAUGUAGUCUAGUGCUUCCAUGAGCCAUAGUAGUCCGCUACAGCCCGGUUCACCGGAGUCCUGCUAGCCCAGCACUACUACUCAGGACACUUGACUGGCCGGCAUGUGUUUCACUUCGUUCCUGUGUCUGUCCCUUUAGGGAAAUGUCACGCGGUGACAUCAGGAGUCCUGCCUAGCCUGCUACACCCCGGGUUCCCGGAGUCCUGUUAGCCCAGUGCUACAACCCAGAUUCACACGCUGCUGACCGACAUGCUCGAUGUGAUUCAUGUAUGCCUGUCCCCAUAGGUUAGUGCCGCUUUGGGUUCACGACUAGCCAUGUCGGCCCGGGUUCUCUGUCAUAUGGAUGCUAGCGACACUAUCAUAUAUGUGAGCCAAAAGGCGCAAACGGUCCCGGGCCAUGGUAAGGAAACACCCGUGGGGAUACCGUGCUUGAGGACGCAAAGUGAUAUGAGGUGUUACCGGCUAGAUCGAUGUGACUUGGAACCAGGGUCCUGACAGUCAGGGGGGGACAAUAUUGACCUGAUAGGCUUGAUUGAAACUUUUAAAUCCUCCUUCUCUCCUCAUGAGCUCUCUUCUAUCGCGGGGGCGAAUCGGUUUGAUUGGAACUUCCUGCCCUCCUCGGGCCAUUUUGGUGGCAUUCUGUUAGGUUCGAAACGGGAUGUUUUUGAUUUUGUUGCUUUUGAUCAUGGUAUAUUCUGGGCCAGCACUGUGUUGUUUCAUCAUCAGCUUAAUUCUCUUUGGGAAUUUAUGGUUGUGUAUGGCCCAGCCGACCACUCCCUCUCUCCAUUUUUCUGGACGAAAUUUCCAAUAAAGUAGAAGCUUGUUCGCUCCCCUUAGUGAUUGGUGGUGAUUUUAACUUGCUUCGCUCCCCUGCAGACAAGAACACUAAUAAUUUUUUGUGGGCUUUGGCUGACGCCUUCAACGACUUCAUCAGUUCAUGCGCUCUGCGUGAGAUCCCUAGGGUGGGAUCUAGGUACACUUGGACCAACCACCAACCUUCUCCUAUCUGCUCCGUCCUAGACCGCGUCCUUGUUUGCUCGAAUUGGGAUUCUCUCUUCCCGUUAGCGACACUUAAAUCUAAGGCCUUUGUGGGCUCAGAUCAUGCCCCUCUUAUUCUUGACACUGGAAAUCAUUCUAUUUCUUCCCCUUCUAGAUUUCAGUUUGACGCCUCUUGGCUCCUUAUUGAGGGUUUUUGUGAUUUCCUUGGUUCUAAAAUCAGUGCCAUUCUUUCUGCUCCUCAUCGUUCCUUUGGACCCAUGGAUGAUUGGCAUAAGUGCUCGGCCUUGCUUCGCAAAUUCCUUUGGGGAUGGUCCCAGAAUCACUCGGCCUAGGAACGCAGGGAUAAGGCCCUUCUCUUGGCCCAGAUUGAGGCCCUUGAUGCUCGGGUGGAUACCUCUGGCCUCUCCGACUCUGAUUGGGCCCUUCGGUUCUCCCUUGAAUAUGCGUUGAUGCACCUGCAUCAGCUUAAUGAGAUUUACUGGCGCCAGAGGGGCGCGUCCAAUUGGCUCCUAAAAGGGGAUUCCCCCUUUGCUUAUUUCUUUGCGAUUGCAAAUGGGAGACGGCGCAGAUGUUUAAUAGAUAGGCUGAUUAUCGAUGGGGUGCGUACUUCCGACCAGGGCGUCAUCCUUAACCAUGUGGUCUCUUUCUUUUCUUCCCUUCUCUCUGCCAAGCCUGCUCAGGGUUUCAGGCUUGCUACCAACUUCUGGAACCAUGGAUCUUUGGUUUCUCAGGAGGAAAACUUGGACCUGAUGAUCCCCUAUUCUGAAGAGGAAAUCUUUUCUGCUAUAAGGAAGGCUAACCCUAAUUCUGCCUCUGGCCCGGAUGGGUUCUCUAUCCCCUUCUUUAAAAAGUUUUGGCCUAUUCUUAAAAACCUUAUUUGCCAAGUUAUUCAAGGUUACUGCCUGGGCACAGUUGAUAUCUCCAGGCUUAAUUAUGCAAUUAUCUCUCUUAUCCCCAAGAUUAAGGGUGCUGACUUAAUUUCCCAGUUUAGACCUAUCGCGCUCAUUAAUAACUUUGCCAAGUUCCCUGCCAAAUGUCUGGCCACUCGCCUCACCCCAAUGGCCCAUCGCACCCUCUCUCAUACUCAGUCUGCUUUUAUCAAGGGUCGCUUCAUCCUGGACGGAGUUCUCUGUCUCCAUGAAAUCUUUCAUGACAUUCACAAAUCUGGGAACAAGGCAGUUAUACUCAAAUUAGAUUUCGAAAAGGCCUAUGAUUCGGUUAGUUGGGGAUUCCUGAGACAAGUCCUUCUUUCUAAAGGCUUUGACAGUGAGGUGGUACACCGUAUCAUGCAGUUGGUCAUAGGGGGCCAUACUGCUAUUAAUGUUAAUGGGCAUAUUAGUAACUUCUUUAAAAACUCCAGGGGCUUGUGGCAAGGUGACCCGGCCUCGCCCAUUCUUUUUAACUUCGUUGCGGACGCCCUAUCUAACAUCCUAUCUAGAGCUGCGGAGGCCGGCCAUAUUUCCCCUGUUAGUUCCCACCUCAUUCCGGAGGGUGUUACGCAUCUUCAGUACGCCGACGAUACUAUCAUCUUGGUGGAACUUAAUGAUCUUUGCAUCGGCCAUCUCAAGUUUCUCCUCCUCUGUUUCGAAGCUCUUUUGGGGCUUAAGAUUAAUUUCUCUAAAAGCGAAGUGAUUGCCACUGGUGUUUCUGGCACCCAAGCUUUAAGGGUGGCUCGCUUAUUAAAUUGCUCUUUGAGUUCUUUUCCUAUUAAGUAUUUGGGCCUGCCUAUCACUUCUGACAAGCUGUAUGCCAAGGACUUCGCCCCUGUGGUGACCAAGGUCGGUAAUUGUGUGAUGCCCUGGAGGGGCAGAUAUAAUACUCAGGCGGGCAAAGUGGCCUUAAUUAACGUCUGCCUCUCCUCUCUCCCUAUGUUCUUGAUGGGGUUCUACCUCCUUUCAAUGGGCACCCAUGCUGGUUUUGACAAACAUAGAGGGGCCUUUUAUUGGAACGCGACCGAUAACAAGUGCAAGUAUCGCUUGGUUAAAUGGGACACCAUUUGUAAGCCCAAAAUCCUUGGGGGGCUGGGCAUCAUUAAUACUCUGGUUAUGAACAAAUGUCUGAUCAUCAAAUGGUGGUGGAAGAUCAUGCAUAUCCCUCAGGACAAGCCUUUGUGGUUCAGCAUCUUAAAGGCAAAAUACUUCCCUUCCUGUAGCCCUAUGUUUGCCCGGGCAUCUGGGGCAUCUCAAUUUUGGCGUGAUCUUGUUAAACUCCGGCCUAGCUUUCAAGGCCUUGUCAAGUUUGUCGUUGGCAAUGGUAAGUCUACUAGGUUCUGGCUCGACUGGUGGUGCGGGGCCUCCCCGCUGGCCUCUUCUUUCCCUGUUUUAUUCUCCUACUGUCCGAACCCUCAGAUCUCUAUCUCUGAGCUUGCGUCGAGUAAUUGGGACCUUCAGCUGCGCCGUUCUCUCUCUCCUGUAGAGUUGGAAGACUGGCAGCGUCUUGCUGCCCUCUUCCCUUCGCUCUCGGAGGAGGAAGACAUAGUUGUGUGGCCCCAUUCUCCCUGUGGCCGCUUCUCGGUUAAAUUUCUUUAUAGCAGACUCAUUGAGGGAUCCACCACCUCCAAAUUUAAGUGGAUUUGGAAAGCUCACAUCCCCCCUAAGAUUAAAGUGUUUCUCUGGCAAGCCUCUCGUGGGCGUCUACCUACGGGUGACCAAAUUCGUAAACCUAAUGGUCCGGGUUCUGACUGCUGUGUUCUAUGUGGGACGAGAGAAGAUACACCUCAUAUUUUCUUUAACUGUGUCCUGGCUAAAUUGUUUUGGUGUUGCAUCAGAUCCUGGUUGCAUGUCUCCUGGGCUCCGACCUCCUUCGCGGACUUGCGGGCAUUGGCUAACUCUUUGGUUGGGACCCAGAGGAGAUUGUUUUGGGUCGGCUUUGCUGCCAUGUGCUGGUCCUUGUGGACGACAAGGAAUAAAUUUACUAUCGAACAUGUUUUUCCUGCUAAGCCUGCUGAUUGCUUAUGUAAGACUUGUAUAUUUCUGUAGCAAUGAAUAUUAUUGACUAAGGAGGAGGACAGGGAUGCAUUUGACGUCAUGUUAGCCAAGAUCCGAAAUUCUGCUAUCUCCAUCCUUCCAGUCCAAGCGGGCCCGUAGACGUUGCUGCGUUGCUACACUAUCUUAUCUUCUUCUGGCCUGCUUGCCAUGUACUGGCCUUGGAGCCAUGUACUUAGACUUCCUUCUUCGUGUUCUGGCUUGAUACUUCUGUGAUCGUGUGCUGGUUGUUUGGGUCUAGGUUAACUCUGCCUGGUGGCUUUAUCUAUAAACUCGGGCUAUGGCCUUUCCUCUAUAAAAAAAAGUACUUACAAAGCCAGUCACCCCAACGUCGGUUCGCCAUGGUGGAUCUCCUGCAGAAACUCUUGCCAGAGACCCUGCCACGGGCAUGGUUGUUUCUGUUCCUCUUCUGCCUCAUCGUGUCUAUGCAGUACUGGUUCACCGGAAAGUUCAGUGCAAAAAGACAGCGGCUCCCGCCUUCGCCGCCGGCGCUGCCCAUCAUCGGGCACCUCCACCUCAUCGGUUCCCUCCCCCACAUCUCUCUCAGCGGCCUCGCAAGGAAGCAUGGCCUCGACGUGAUGCUCCUCCGCCUGCAGGGGACCGUGCCCAACCUCGUUGUGUCUUCCUCGCGCACUGCGGAGGCGGUGCUGCACACUCAUGACCACGUCUUCGCGUCACGGCCCUACUCCGUCGUCUCCGACACCAUCAUGUACCGCUCGUCUGACAUCGGCUUCGCGCCAUACGGUGAGUACUGGCGGCAAGCAAGGAAACUCGUCACCACACACAUGCUGAGUGCUAAGAAGGUGCAGUCUUUCCGUGGCGCCGCUGCGGAGGAGGUACUGGUUUUUAAUUAUAUUUAAUUUUUCAGGUACUGAUAGCCUUUCUUUUAAGAUCUUGCUCUCAUUAUUCUGGUACUGAUUUGGACUCUCACUUCCAUCAGAAACAAAAUAACGGAAUGGACUUUCAUGUGGUCCUCUGCUAACUGUUUCUUCCUCCGUCCGGGUUUAUUAGUUUCGCUCAUAGUUUGGGCUUAACUUCUAAAAUAAAAUUAACUAAUAAUAGUAAAAUAUAGACUUUAUGUAUAAAAAAUGAUACCACCUUAAACUACUUUUGAAUAAGAAUCCAACGGUAGUUGAAUCUAUAUAUGGUCCACCUUUGACCCAAAAUACCAAGGAAACUUAUAUAUUAACCUGGACCGAGAAAGUACUACAUAUGUAAAUGUUAGCUUCUCAUACUUUACGACCCAUGCUAUUAUAGGUCAGCAUGGCGAUGGCCAAGAUCAACCAGGCAGCAGCUACUGAUGCUGCGGUGGACAUGAGUGAGCUGCUCCACACAUUCGCUAAUGACAUGGCGUGCCGCAUUGUGUCGGGGAAGUUCUUCCUGAAAGAUGGUCAAAGCAAGUUGUUCGGGGAACUCAUCAAGGAUACCUCACGGCUGCUAGGCGGGUUCAAUUUGGAGGAGUACUUUCCGGCAGUGGGUAGGGUAGGAGUGCUCAAGAAGGCGGUUUGUGCCAAGGCCGAAAGAGUGAGGAACAGAUGGGCCGAUCUGCUGGACAAGGUGAUCGACGAUCAUGUGAGUAAGCGCAAGAGUGGUUCUUCUACAUCCAUUCUCGGUGCACCCAUGGUGCACCAACACAAGAAAACAUAUCAAAACAUUUCGAAAAUUUCUGAAACUUCGUGAAAAUGUUCAUCAACAAAUGUUAUGGGGGCUUGCAAAAUUUGUUGGCCAAAUAACAUUUGAGGAGCUCUCUACAAAAAAGACGAAAUCACUGAAAAUUAGUCAAAAUGUACGUGCACUGUUUGAGCAGAUUUUGCAAUUUUGUCUUUUUUGUAGGGCGCUUGUCGAAUGUUAUUUGACCACCAAACUUUGCAAGCCCUCAUAACAUUUGUUGAUCAUCAUUUCCACGAAGUUUCAUAUUUUUUCGAAAUGUUUUGAUAUGUUUUCUUGCAUGGGUGCACCGUGGGUGCAUCGAAAGUGGGUGCAGCCACUACUUUCCCGUGGAUAUUAUGUUGUCUGUCCAACAGGAGUAUGAUCUCACAAGAGAGCACAUGAAAGCUCUCCUGACCGUGAGUACAGAUAAUACCUUUCAAACUAAACAAGUUGAUUUGUAUAUAUCUAUCAUUGUCCUAAUUAAUUGAUAUAUGCAGGAUGUAUUUUUUGGUGCAAUAGAUACAUCAGCUAACGCCCUCGAAUUCACCUUGGCUGAGCUCAUGAAGAAGCCACACCUGAUGGUGAAGCUACAAGAUGAGGUGAGGGGUAUUGUACCCCAACGACAAGAAAUUAUCUGUGAAACCGACAUGAACAACAUGACGUACCUAAGAGCAGUCAUAAAAGAGUCGCUCCGGUUACAUCCUCUUGCUCCUCUCCUUGCUCCGCACCUUGCCAUGGCUGACUGCAUCAUCGAUGGAUACACGGUUCCUGCUGGGAUGCGUGUGGUCGUCAAUGCAUGGGCCAUUGGUAGGGAUCCGAGCUCCUGGGAGUAUGCGGAAGAGUUCAUUCCUGAAAGAUUUACAGAUGAAGGUAGCAGUAUGCAUGUCAACUUCAAGGGUAAUGAUUUC
rnacentral:lncRNA from 1 species